rnacentral:rRNA from 1 species
UACGUAGGUGGCGAGCGUUGUCCGGAUUUAUUGGGCGUAAAGCGCGCGCAGGUGGUGCGGUAAGUCUGUCGUGAAGUCUCCCGGCUCAACUGGGAGGGUGCGGUGGAGACUGCCGGACUAGAGGCACUCAGAGGCCGGUGGAAUUCCCGGUGUAGUGGUGAAUGCGUAGAGACCCGGAGGAACACCAGUGGCGAAGGCGGCUUCCCUGGCCUGCGACUGACGCUGUGGCGCGAAAGCUAGGGGAGCAAACGGG